UCUUUCUACUCUAAUCAGAACCUAACAGCCCUAAACCAAAUGAUCCCUACGCUCCUCUUCAACCAAACGACCCAAGUAUUCUUCACCCAAAUUCAAUGGAAAUCUGAAAUCCCUAACUAGCCAUAUUCCACAAAAUCCGCCUGUUGUUCACCUCUCACGUCAGGUCACAUACCUCUUCUCCUUCCUCACACUCCAUCUCUGAAGCUUGCAGGCUCCAUGUGCGAUUUCAGCAGAUUUCAGGGUAAGUCCCAUCCCCAUUCUUCAUCAUCUCCUCUGUCAGAAACGUCUCUGAAGAUUUUCCCACUUCUUGUUUGAAUUUCGAAUUCUUGGCUUCCUUGAGAAGCUGUUGAGCUCCUAAAUCUGGCUAUAAAUACAACCCUUUAGCUUUGUGUUGAAAUAAGUUUUUGAAGGGUAGAAAAUCCCCUUUACGUUGAUAGGUUCAAGUGUUGGAAAUUCCUUUUGAAUAACCCAAAAAAAAAUUUCAUCUGUUUUCUUAAAGAAAAAAAAAAUCUCUCUUUUAACUUUAAGUUUGCUUUUUGUCGAAUUCUUGGGUGGUUCUCGGCUCUUCAAGAGGAUUCGGAGACUCGAGACAACAACAAGCCUCAGUUCGCUGUCACGAAGAAGGUAAUCAUAUAUUUUUUUUACUUCGUUUUUUUUCAAUUGUGUAGGAGAAAAAUGUAGUUUUGUUCAAGUAUUUCCUCGUCGUUUGUUUGGUUUGGUUGGUCGGAAUGUGUCCUCUCCUCGUUUGUUGUAAAUUAGUGUAAGUGGACUAAUUUCGUCGAAUAUGUGUUCAACCUCGUCGCUGCUUGUCUUGGCAUUUUCCAUAUAUUUCUUUAGUUCUGUCACUUCUGAAUUUAUUUAGUUAUAAUCUUGUUAGAGUCAAAUAAAUAAUUUACUUUCUCCCAUAUGUUAAGUAUAUUCGCCGUUUCUUUUAGUUUCGAAACUAGGUCAGUUUAAGGUCGGGUAAAACUAAUGACGAGGAUUAAAGUGUGUUUAAAUUUAAUGUGGACACUGUUUGGUAUAAUUAUUAGGAUGUGUUAGCUUCAGUUUCCUUCUAUUAUGAUCAAAGUGUGUGUUUAAAUUUAAUGUGGACACCACCAAAAUGGUUUUUUUUUACACCCGAAAGAGUAGAAACACUUAGAAACUCGGCUAAGCCUUGAGUUUUGAGGAAGUUUCUUACUCGUAGUUAAAUUUUUAAAGUCUUCCGAUUCGUCGGAAUAGUCGAUUUUGUGUGAAAGAGUGUUCCUCGUCAACUCUUGUCGCCCCCUGUCGUUGCUCGACAAAAAGGUAAUUUUUAAAGUCCCUUUCUUUUAAUUUCCGCCUUAAUCAUGUGUUAGUAUGUGUUAAAUAUGGUUGCUGUUUAUUUGCUUCUAUUUGAAAUAGAUUAGUUUAAAAUUGUGUAACGUUAACUACGUUUUAGCUUAAGGAUAAGGAUUAAGGUAUGUGCUUAAGGUUGUAUACUGGUUUGGUAUAGCUUGACUCUAGUUUUGAUAAGCAUUGGUUGAUGUAGAGGCGAAAACUUAGUAUGUGAAUUAGCUGUUUAAGUUUUCCUCUAUUCGUUCUCUAUUUGCUCUAUGUGUUCAUUCAACCUGCAAGUUUUAGCUCUGUAACCUCUUAUUUGCAAUAUCUUUAAUUGGGAGAUAAUGAUAUAUGGUUGAAUUGGUUAACUUUGAGAAUUAGGUUCGAGUUUAUCAAAUGCUUUUUUUUUCUUCAGUUCUUUGUGAUGAAUAUCGUUUGCUUAAUGUUAGUCAACUGUGAUAUUUUGCUUCUGCCUUUAGUUCUCUCAUUCACCUAGAAGCUAUAGGAUUAAGAAAGUAAUGCUCUCACAAGUAGUUUGCUGGUCUUCCUAACUUAAUCCAAUAAUGUUAAGUUGAUUGCUCGGCCCCUUUCAUGUUAGAACAUGAUUUCCUUUGGGGUGUUUCUAAUUCUGUUUUAGCCGUAUAAGAACCAGAUUUAAUCAUCUUUGCUUAUAAGUUGAAUCAUCUUCUCUGUUUGGAUUGCCCUUCUAUUUCCUUCUAUUUUCACCCUCUUUUCUUUAACAUAAGAAGAGGCAGGAUAAGAGUGUUUCUUUAACGUAUUAAUUAUGUUGGUUACAAGCUCAUAUGAACUGGAAGUUGCUUCAAAAUUGAGUGGCUGUUUGGUUGAUAGCUUGAAUGAUUUAGUUAGAACAACACAAUAGACCAUUUAUUAUUAGCUUCCAACUAUGUUCAGAUACUGAUUUCCAUCUCAGAAUAAAUUUUCAUACUUCAUUAAUAGCGAUUGGCUUAACUAGUUUAAGAUUAACCACAAAGGGAAAUCAGUUGUAUUAGGUGGUUGUUUUGUUUAAGUUUAUUUCCAGUAGCUAAACAUCGAGCCUAGAUAAUCUCUAAAUGUGUGCUGCUGCUGUACUGUUCCCACAUUAUAUUAACACUCACCCUAUUUGAAUAUGAAUCUUCAGAGUUACUGUUUAGGUGUUAUAUUGUGUAAUAUUUCCUUUGUUUCCAAAAAAUCAUGACUGAGUUUCCUAACAUCCUUAGCUGCUAGAUGUAGCCAUGUAAUGGUCAUAUCCAGUUUCUCCUUAAGAACAGUUUUAAUAAUCUAAGCAUGAAUUGAUUCAGGAUCUCUCUCAAUUUUCUUCUCUGUUUGGUUAAGUUUUUUUUAGAACCUCAAGUACUAUUUUCCAAACUCUUCUUUAAUUGAAUCUGGAAUGUGCACUCAGUUUACAAUGAGUCACCCUCCCUUUUAGAAUAGAUUUGUCAAAAGCUUUCAAUUUAGGUGCACUAGCAGUGAUUAGCUAACAUGAUCCUUACCCAUUUUCUUGGAAUUAUUAUACAAAGGUGAUGUGCCAGCUUUGUUCACUUUUAGUGACUUUACCUUUUGUGUACUUAAUCCAAGUAUAAUCUUUCUAAUCCUCAAAAAGAUUUUGCUUUGAGUUUUGAGAUGUCUCUUAUAGCUGGAUCCUGUCUGAAUAUGUUCAGUUCUUCUUCUCUGCCUUCUAUGAACUGCUUGGGUACUAUAUUGGAAGAUUAACUCAAUAUUUUUAGCAACACUUAGUGUGUAGAGUGCCUUAUGUUAUAUGUGUGUUAUGGCUAGCUUUUAAGUUCAUCUUUCUUGAGGUACUAUGUUUCCUUUUGUUAGCCUGAAUCUCUUAGGUUUGAUUCCUUGUGUGAUGUUUAUGACCAGUCUUGAAGUUUUCCUUUUAAGUCAUGUUGUGUUAGUUGGUAUAGUCACUUUCUGGAAGUCAUUAAGGGACUGAUUUACAGAGGCUCGUUAAUCCCAAAAUCUCAACUUUGAAAGAUAAUACUUUGUUUCUUAUAAUUUAUAGUUUCUAAAUACUUGGGUCGUAUCAUGGAACUGCUUUCUAUGCUCAUCCACUCUUAAAACCCAAAUCUUAACCCUUCUUUGACAUAUUGAUUCGGGAAAGUUUAUAUAUUUACUCAGCAAGUGUGGAAUGCCUCAUAUUCAAGUAGUUAUUAUUUCUUUUCUUCUGCUAAAUCCUUUGGCUGCUGGAUACUAAUUCUUCUUCACCCUUCCUCUUCUUUGCAUGACUUGGGGAGUUUCAAACCUCAAAUGAUAUCGCAUAUCUGAGGAAGACAUGCUGUUUAUUUGAUGUGCUUAUUGCUGAGUUUUGCUUGAGGCUAAAGUUGCCACGUUUAGAGUCAUUAGCUACUGCAUUUAGGGCACUGCUCUUGCUACCUUUUGAGCAAGCUACUGCUCAGUGUUGAUUAUUGAAAUGAGCUGCAUUCUGAGGCAAUUCGAGGAAAAGAUAUUGCUGAUAUGUUUGUUGCAAUUUUGUUAUCAUGUUGGCUGCCAUGAGUUGCUAUAUUCUUGACCAUUUGCACCGCCUUUGGGAUUUAUUAACUGCGGCAUUUUGGUGGUUCAGUGCUGCUGAGUUUCUGCUGCAAUUUGGGGCCAUUUGUUGCUUCAUUUUUGGCCAUUUACACCUCAGUUUGGGACUGAUUUAGUGCCAGUAUUUUUGUUGAAAGUUCACUGUAUUUUGGGGUUGAAAAAUGCCAUCUUUGAGUGAUUUAGUUGCUGCGCAAUGGCUGCACUAAAGGGCUGAGUUUUCGUUCUAUUUUGAGGCUCAUUCGGGGUUGAAACUGCUGCUAUAUUUAGCUAGUUGUUGAGAUUUUGAGCCAAGUUUUGGGCAGCUUUGAGGUCAUAGGCUGUUGGUUAUUAAAGACAAACAGUUGCUGCAUUUUUUAGCUGAAACGCUGCUGUGUUCUUGGCUGUUUGCUGCUGUAUUUUGAGACUUGUUGAGUUGCUGCGUUGUUGAGCUUAUCGUUGUUGGAAUCUUGGACCAGCCUGUGGCUUCAUGUUGGCGAAAAAUAGCUGCUGCUAUACUAAAAGACACAACUGCUAUAUCUUUGAAAUGUUAUUUUGAGGGGUUGGCAUCUACCUCUACCUCAAUGCCCAUUAUGAGUUAAUGUCUUGUUUGCUACAUGCUUGCUAUGGCAUAUUGUAGAAUUGCUGCUGUUAAGUUUGAGGUCAAAAAUUGUUGCCCUAUGAGUGAUUGAGUUGCUGCCCUGUUAAUAUAUAUAUAUAUAUAUAUAUAUAAUGAGCAGGUGCUUCAUUCAUCCGAACAGACUGCUACACUUGAAAUAUUCACUGAUAAGAAUAUAUACUACACUGGGGCGGAUGAAAAAAACAUUAAUUUGAGGCCGUCUUUGUCCGAAAAGGUUAUCCCUCAGUUUAGGUGUUGAUGACCUCAUAGUAGUAUCACGAGGUAGGAAUGAACAUGCGUUUGGCGAGGCAACUAGAAUGGCCACUAGUCUGCAGCCAAGACAUGUUUCGGAUUCCUUUGCCAUACUCGGAACCGUGAGUCUGAGCCUCCGUAAUCAAAGCUCUCAAAGUUUGAUACGAGUCCGCGGGAUAUUAUUUAUGUUCCUAAACGUCACCCUACGGGGUGGCGUAAUCAUUUUUUCUAACAUUUUCCUUUCAUAUUUUUUGCGAGGACAAAUAACGCGAGGCAGUAGAACAAAGAUGUACCAAAAGUUGGAAGUGAAGAAAUUUGGAAGCACGGCAUGUUUGGCCGAAGAACUAGAAACGGGGCAAAUAGGGCUCAAGUCUUAAACCUUAUUUAUUUCUAUCUAAAUUUAUGUAUCCAAGUAUUACAUAUGUAUAUUUGGAUCUAUAACAAAUUGCUAACUUAUU